UACGAAGGGGGGCUAGCGUUGCUCGGAAUGACUGGGCGUAAAGGGCGCGUAGGCGGAUGGCUUUGUCGGGCGUGAAAUUCCAGGGCUUAACCUUGGGGCUGCGUUCGAGACGGGUUGUCUUGAGUGGGGAAGAGGGUCGUGGAAUUCCCAGUGUAGAGGUGAAAUUCGUAGAUAUUCGGAAGAACACCAGUGGCGAAGGCGACUUACUGGACACAUAUUGACGCUGAGGUGCGAAAGCGUGGGGAGCAAACAGG
rnacentral:rRNA from 1 species